AUGGGACGGCCCGCUGGGCUGUUCCCGCCCCUAUGCCCUUUUUUGGGUUUCCGGCCAGAGGCAUGCUGGGAGCGUCACAUGCAAAUUGAGCGUGCACCCAGCGUUCCGCCCUUUCUACGCUGGGCCGGUUAUCGACCCGGCCCAGUGCGCAGGCGCGGGAAAGUUGAACUAAUAAAGUUUGUACGAGUUCAGUGGAGGAGACCGCAAGUUGAGUGGAGGAGGCGGCGGUGGGGCCCCGGACCAGGUGCCUCCAUGGCAGGCUCUGAAGAGCUGGGGCUCCGGGAAGACACGCUGAGGGUCCUAGCUGCCUUCCUUAGGCGUGGUGAGGCUGCCGGGUCUCCUGUUCCAACUCCACCUAGGUAAGAGGAGUGGCCCUUCUCCCCCAGGGGCCAGCAUUUGAGGCUCCCUCCUAACUCUUGCUCCUGGUCUCAGUCUGUCUCCUCUCUUUAUAUCUGGCUCUAUUCUCUGUCUUUGGGGUUUUGGAGAGAGGUCCUCAGCGGGGGAGGGAGGGAGUUGGGGAAAGAGACUGCUUGCAGGGGAUCUCUGGUGGGGUCAGUCUCUGAAGUCCUCCUCUCCAGAAGCCCUGCCCAAGAAGAGCCAACAGACUUCCUGAGCCGCCUUCGAAGAUGUCUUCCCUGCUCCCUGGGGCGAGGAGCAGCCCCCUCUGAGUCCCCUCGGCCUUGCUCUCUGCCCAUCCGCCCCUGCUAUGGUUUAGAGCCUGGUAAGAGAUUUCCAUGAUCAUCUAUGAAGCCGGCAGAACACGGGAUAAGGCCCAGCUACUCCAGACUUCUAUGCUUUGGUGGCCCAGCGGCUGGAACAGCUGGUCCAAGAGCAGCUGAAAUCUCCGCCCAGCCCAGAAUUACAGGGUCCCCCAUCGACAGAGAAGGAAGCCAUACUGCGGAGGCUGGUGGCCCUGCUGGAGGAGGAGGCAGAAGUCAUUAACCAGAAGGAGGGCAUCCUGGCUGUUUCACCCGUGGACUUGAACUUGCCAUUGGACUGAGCUCUUUCUCAGAAGCUGCUACAAGAUGACACCUCAUGUCCCUGCCCUCUUCGUGUGCUUUUCCAAGUCUUCCUAUUCCACUCAGGGCUGUGGGGUGGUGGUUGCCCUACCUGUUUUUGCCAAAAAUAAAUUGUUUAAAACUUUUCUUAUUAAAAACGUUACAAAGUA
rnacentral:misc_RNA from 1 species